CAGGCCUUCAGAGGGUGAAGUCCUGUCUCCUGCAUGAAGGCACUGGCACCUCUUGCCUAGUACCUGCUGGGCUGUGGGCCCUGAGAAAAAGGGGCUGAAGGGGAAACAGCCCAGGGAGAGAGAGGGACAAAGGGAGAGAAGGAGGGUAGGAAGACUGCUGCUAAAGGGUCCCUGGUUGGGACCCAGAGUAGAGGGUGGACCUGGGUCUCUUCUUCCCCACCACCCUUGCACUUCUACCUGGCUGUUUGGAGUGGCCAUCAUGGAUGGCACCAGACCCCCUACCAAAAGGGGGUAUGUUUGGGGUGUGGUUGGCCAUUGUGGCUGGGGCAAAGAGAAGGACUGCUGAUAACACCAAACCCCUGGAAGGAGGUGAGACCGGAGCAGGGGGCAUUGCUGGAGGGCAGUGUCCUGCAGAGUAUGCUGCAAGCUGGGAGCAACGCGGGUUGAAAUGCCAAUCUAGGGCGAGAGACGGAUGGGACAUCACCGGCAGAGGUCGCUCUGCAUGAACUGAGCUAAUUACCGGAGUGAGCCACAGGAGGUGCUGCAGUGGGUUAGAUUACUGCACUGAGCACCCCCUGGGCUACACCUUAAAUCCACUCUGAAGCUGAAACUGCUGAAGAAUUUGGCAGCCAACUUGCUUAGCAGCUGAUCCAUAAGGCUUUUUUGAAAGAAAACUGAACUCACACAGACUGAUUCUUCAUUCAUCUGACAUGUCAUGCCAACAAAUGAUUUUUUUGUGCACUCUCAGUGUCUUAAUCAGAGUGUCACACACCAGCCCAUAGCACCUUCCUAGCUCUGAAACCUCUUCCAACACUUAAUCCUUCAAUUUGUAUAUGUUGUAAAGACAUUCAGAUCAGGCUUGAUAAUACAUGAAAUUUACAUGUUUCUGUCAUCAUGUCAACUUGUCACACAUCAUAAUUAACCUCUACCUUCCUCCCCCCCCGCCCUUCUUUUGAAAUCUGAAAAAACUCUGGGUAUGUUUUUUUAAAAAAAGCUUUGUUUUAUUCUGGAUACAGUAUUUUAUGCUGGUGAAUUAUCUUACCUAAUGCCUGUCAUAUGUUCAGAUUGGACUAAUGUGUGAAGAUGGAUCCCUAUCAAUAAAGAAUCCAUCUCUGGCUCACUUUGUGAGGGAGAAAAAAUAAACUGUACAAAAUUUUUCAUAAUCUAAAAUAGUAAAUUGCAGAUAUUGAAACACUAUGUGCAGGACUUGGGUCACAGGUUCUUUACUUUCAUCAUUACAAAAGAAAAUGUUCUGUUUUAGUAGCUGUUAACUACAUAAACCACAUUAACUACUAUUAAAUCCUGUAAUGUAGGUAUUUUGUGGUUAGGCUGGGGUAGUCAUGUGGAAAUUUAGAGCCUGAUACU